UCGGAACCCUCACAUGGUCUGUACGACAUCCACCUACUUGGAUCCAAGGCGAGCGUGCGGUGUGGUGAAUAAAAUAAGCACUAACACCUAGGGUGCAGGUUAUGAGCUUGAAACAUCUUAUCAACAAUCAAUUAAAUGAAUAAUGAACUCACCUGACUUACCUGUGCCUCCACAGCACCAUGCAACAUGUAUGCAUCAUAUAUCAAUCAUAUAACUCAUAUGAAAUUCACAUUUUCCAAAUAAUUCUAUGCAUGGCAUUUUCAAAACAUAAUUUCGUAUAAAUUCAUCUUCUGGGAAAAAUUAAUAGUAUAACGGUAAUACGAAAACAAAACUGCCCACUCACUGAUAAGUCGACGGGUCGUAACCCCCGUGGCGUCCCUGGAUGCGGUCGUCCUCGGGAUACGUCUCACCUAUAUGCGAAAUAAAUAUAAAACGUUAAUUUUAAACACAUCACCAAUAUUUCGAAAUAAUUUCUCAUACGAUGCUCAAUUUGGGUAUAUGAAUAUACCACAUCGACCUACUCGACGUCACGAGCGUCGAGAAAUUUUUAGAAACUGAUUUGGACUCCCCACGCGCCCUCACGCGCCGGCUAGAGCUCGGCUCUACGCGCAGGCCACGCGCAGCCACGCGCAGCACGUGUCAUCGUCUUCCCCAGGGUUCGCCGGACUGGUUUUUCCGGCGACCCAAUUCCGGCCAAACUUUAAACCUCUUGUUCUCCUUCGUUUUUCACCCAUUUUCUUCGUAUUUUAUACCAAAUUGAAGCCCUAAGAGUGUACUAUCACGUUGGACUAGUUUUAGGGUCUAAAAAUCAAGAAAUCUCACCGAGCAAAAUCCAAGAAUUCGGCCAACUUUGAAACCCACGAUCCCGACGUCCAAAUCCUUCAAACGAACGUCCCCGAGCUUCCUUAGGACCUCACUAAGCUUGCUAUAAGCUUGAAUUCCCCUGAAACACAACAUUUUACGUUCGCAUGAACAGUACCCAAAAAUGGAGGUUUCGGAUUCCACGUGAAAUCGAAGGUCUCACUUCCUAAAACUAGCACCAAUGAACUCAGGACGUCAAAAGGAUGAAGAUACAUACCUUAUUUGCCUCGAUCCGUCAAGUUUUGAAGGGUUUUGGUGGUGGUCCGUACGUGGAGGGUGAGGGAAAGAGAGAGAUCGUGAGGGAGAGAGACAGAGAGUGCUACGGGAGGGAGAGAAGACAGGGAGUGCGUGUGUGUGUGUGAUUGUGUGGUCCAACACAAUCCUCACCAUCCAUCCAAAUCCCUAACCACAAAAAUUUCAAUUCCAAUAGUUUAAUCCCAAAACUUAACAAAAUUAAUUCAGAUAAUGUCACACACACACGUACCCAAAUGUCCGCCAAGGGUAAUUACGUCAAUUCACGCCCCCGAUAUAGAAAUCCCAGGACGGGCUGUGACAAUCUCCCCUCCUUAUAGAAUUUCGUCCCCGAAAUUCCCACAAUCAAAUAACCACUUAGUACCCAUAAAAUAACCUUGGGUACAUCUCUCUCAUCCGAUCUUCCGUCUCCCAGGUAGCUUCCUCUGCAGAAUGGUUCCUCCACAACACCUUGACCAAACUCACCGUCUUGUUCCUUAGAACCUUAUCUUUCCAAUCCAAUAUAGUGACCGGUUCCUCAUCAUACGUCAAAUCCGGAUUAAUCUCUAACGGUUGAGGAGGGAUCACAUGAGAAGGAUCAGAAAUAUAAUGUCGAAGCAUGGAGACGUGGAACACAUUAUGGACCUUAGAUAACUCCGGAGGCAGCUCUAACCAGUAGGCAACUUCACCAACUCUUUCGGUGAUCACAUAAGGUCCAAUGUAUCUCGGACUUAGCUUUCCUCUUUUUCCAAAUCGAACCACACCUCUCCAAGGUGACAAUUUCAAAAACACCCAAUCACCCACAUCAUAUACUCGAUCAGUAGUAUGCCGAUCCGCUAAACUCUUCUGUCGAUCCUGAGCUGCUUUCAAGUUUGACUUAAUUACCUAAACAUUUUGAGUUGUCUCAUCCAUAAUCCCAGGGCCUUCUAACACCCUUUCACCAACCUCAGACCAACAUAAUGGUGUUCGACACGCCCUACCAUAAAGUGCCUCAAACGGAGACAUACCAAUGCUUGAGUGAAAACUGUUAUUAUAAGCAAACUCCAUCAAAUCUAGACGAUCAUGCCAGGAAUCACCAAAUUGUAACACCGAAGAUCUCAACAUAUCUUCCAACGUCUGGAUGGUCCUCUCUGAUUGCCCAUCAGUUUGAGGAUGAUAAGCUGUGCUAUACAGUAAUUGUGUACCCAGAGCUUCCUGAAAAGCCACCCAGAAUUUAGAAGUAAAUCUUGGGUCUCGGUCAGAGAUAAUAUUUACUGGAACUCCAUGAUACUUUACAAUCUUUGAAAUAAACAACUUAGCCAAUUUAUUCAGAGGGUAUUUCUCCCUCACUGGAAUGAAAUGCGCUGACUUGGUAAGUCGAUCUACAAUCACCCAAACGCCAUCAAAUCCAUUUCGGGUACGAGGAAGUUUAUACACGAAAUCCAUGGUUAUAUUUUCCCAUUUCCACUGGGGAACGGGAAGUGGCUGCAUUCGCCCAAAGGGCUUCUUUUCUUUCCGCUUUAACCUGCUGGCAAAUAAUACAUCUACUCACAUAAUCUGCAAUUUCUCUUUUCAUACCCGGCCAAUAAUAAAAUGGUCGAAUGGUAUGGUACAUUUUUGUUCCUCCCGGGUGCAUCGCAUAAGCUGAACAAUGUGCUUCAUCCAGAAUUUCCUUCUUCAAUUCCUCAUUAUUCGGAACAUACAUUCUGUUUUCUUGCAUGAGCAUACCAUCUGAUUCCCGAAUUCUGAGGUCUUUCUUUUUCCUUUCACUUCUUAACUGAACCAACUCCUGAAUUUCUUCAUCCACCAUCUGAGCUGCAAGUAUACGAUCCACCAAAACUGGCCUGACUUGAAAACUAGCAAGAAAAGCUCCAUCUCGGUUUUCAAAUUCCAACCUUACCCCCGUUGUCCUCAAUUCAGCAAGAAGAGGAACACGACUAGCAUAUAAGGCAUUAAGCCUACCUUGAGGUUUCCUACUCAGUGCAUCCGCUACCACAUUAGCACGACCUGGAUGAUACUCAAUAGUACAAUCAUAAUCACUUAACAAUUCCAUCCACCUUCGCUGACGAAGAUUAAGAUCAUGCUGAGUAAAUAAAUACUGAAGACUCUUGUGAUCAGUGAAAAUCUUACACUUCUCACCAUACAAAUAAUGCCUCCAAAUCUUUAAAGCAAAAACAAUUGCUGCCAAUUCAAGGUCGUGAGUAGGAUAAUUUCUUUCAUGAUUUUUCAAUUGCCUAGAAGCAUAGGCAAUCACCUUAUUAUGCUGCAUCAAAACACAUCCCAAACCAUUUAAUGAAGCAUCAUUAUAGAUCUCAAAAUUACCGCUAUCAUCAGGAAGUACCAACACCGGUGCAUGGGUGAGGCAAUACUUCAAUUGCUGAAAACUCCGCUCACAAUUCUCAUCCCACUCAAAUUUAACAUCCUUCCUGGUCAACUUUGUUAACGGUAAAGCAAUCAUGGAGAAAUCCUGAACGAACCGUCGAUAAUAACCUGCUAAACCCAGAAAACUGCGUACCUCAGUGACGGUUCGAGGUUGCUCCCAAUUCUCCACCGCUGCUAUCUUUUGAAGAUCAACUUGAAUUCCUUGAGCCGAUACAACAUGCCCCAAAAAUGCCACUUCGGACAACCAAAACUGACAUUUACUGAACUUGGCAUACAACUGAUGCUCCCUUAAUUUCCUUAACACCAAAUUAAGGUGUCGGAUAUGAUCUGCUUGGGAUUUAGAGUAUACCAGAAUAUCAUCAAUAAAAACAAUAACAAAUUUAUCAAGAUAUUUCUGGAAUACCUCAUUCAUCAAUCUUAUAAAAGCUGCAGGUGCAUUAGUCAACCCAAACGGCAUAACCAAAAAUUCAUAAUGUCCAUACCGAGUCCGGAAGGCCGUCUUAGGUACAUCAUCUUCCUUAAUCUUCAAUUGGUAAUACCCAGAUCUCAAAUCAAUCUUAGAAAAUACACACGCACCUUUCAGUUGAUCAAACAAAUCAUCAAUAUGAGGCAAUGGAUAACGGUUUUUAAUCGUUACCCGGUUCAAUUGCCUAUAAUCAAUACACAAUCGCAGAGUUCCAUCCUUCUUCCUCACAAAUAAUACUGGGGCACCCCAAGGUGAAGAACUAGGUUGAAUAAAACCCUUAUCAAGUAAUUCUUGCAACUGGAUUUUUAAUUCUCUCAACUCAGCAGGAGCCAUUCUAUAAGGAGUCAGAGAUAUAGGGUCCGUACCUGGAAGCAAAUCAAUAGUGAAUUCCACCUCCCUGUCUGGUGGCAAUCCCGGCAAAUCAUCAGGGAAUACGUCCGGAUAAUGUCUGACCACACCAACUUCUUCUAUACUAGUGGGGGCAACCUCAUUUAACACCACAUGCGCCAAAUAUCCCUGACAACCCUUCGAUAACAAUUUCCUCGCCCUUAAGGCAGAAAUAACCCCAUGUCUCACCCCACUUCUCUCGCCCACAAAAGUAACCUCGGGUAAUCCAGGACGAUAAAAAGUAACUGAUUUACCAUAACAAUCAAUAUGGGCACGAUUAUGGUGUAACCAAUCAGCCCCUAAGAUUACAUCAAAAUCCACAAUAUCUAACGGAAUAAGAUCAGCGGACAUAAUCAUGCCCUCAACCAUCACUGGACACCCAAGAUACACACUAUCCACAUAACAUUUAUCUCCUCUAGGCAUGGCAAACUCUAAAUCAAAUCCUAGAGGUGAAGGGUGAGGUUGGGUCAUUUGAGCAAACGUAUGAGAAAUCACAGAGUGCGUAGCACCACAAUCAAUCAAAACCUUAGCAAAAUGACCAAGAACAUUUAACGUACCCAUGAUCAAGUCUGGAUGGUUCUGAGCCUCCUGCAGAGAAAUAUGAUUAACUUGUCCCUGAGCUUGCUGACGUCCACCUCGGCCUCUACUGCCCUGAUUACCUCGUCCCUGAGGAUUACGCCCCUAGCCUGGCUGACUAGGCUGCCUGGAUGAUCCUGCCCCACCAGUAGCAACUUCCCCCUGACGGGGCUGGCCUCCCUGAUGCCAUUGCGAUCCACCAACUGGCAUAGAGGAAUAAGAUGAAUAACCUCCAAAAUCCUGAGAAUACCCAGCCUGAGAAUGAGGCUCCUGGGAAUACUGAUAAGGUCCGGGAGCAUACGGAGCAGCAUCCCCCUGAUAGUGGUAGGCACCACCACGACUCGGCUGGCCAUAACCGCCUGAUCCAAAACUCUGCUGAACUGGUGCUGGAGGUGGCAUAGUGGUCUGUUGCGGUCUCUGCUGACCCUGGGGGCACUGAGAAGCCCGAUGUCCCAUCUGCCCACACGUAAAACAAGCACCAGUACCUCUCCUACACUCACCAUGGUGACGGAAGUUACAACGGCGGCACCAUGGAGCGCCAGAUCCACCAGCACCACCUGAAUCCCUCUGACCCUGAAACCUGGGUCCACCAGAAAAUCUUCCACCACCUCUCAUCGGGCCAGUAAAACUAUAUCCCCCACUAGAAGAACUCGAACUCGCUCCACUCUUCUUAAAAUUCUGUGUCUGCCAAGGUCCCGGAAUGGAGAUACCCUUACCUUUAUCAUUCUUCUUCUGACCCUCAUUCUUGUCCUCAUCAUCCUCACUGUCAGGAAGAUUAUCAGAGUCCUCCAUCCUAACCAAAAUCUCGAAAUACUCAUGAUAAUCAGCGCAAGGAAGUGCAUUGGCAAAGGUACGCCACUUCUUCUUAGAUCCCAACUUGAAACGUCGAAGCAUCUCUCCCUGAUUACCAGCUAUAUCAGGGUCAUAACGAGACAAAUCAGUAAACCUUCUAUAAUAUUCAUGUGCCGACAUAUUUCUCUAUUUCAACCUGGUGAAUUCCUGUUUCUUACGAUCAAUAUACUCAGGAGGGACGAAUCUCUUCAUAAAAUUCUCUUUGAACACUUUCCAGUCGGCUGCCGUCUCAGGUGACAUGUACCUAGUCUGAUUCAUCCACCAUGCUGCUGGUUCAUGACCCAAAAACCAAGUGGUGGUCUCCACCCACCUAUUAGCAGGGAGAUUCCCCUGACUCUGCAUCACCUGGAAAGUCUUCUCAAUAUGAUCUAGCCGUUUCUCUGCCCCCUCAUGACUUUCAUUACCCAUAAACCGAUCUAACUUCAAGUUGUACAUGGUCUCCAGAGGUGUCCUCGGAGGAGGGGGAGGACGAAUCACAUUCUGUAAAGCCUGGGCCAUCGCUUCCCCUAGCUGAGUAAUAUCCAGGAAAUUAGGUUCAGAAGUACGGCGGGACUCCCUACGCUCCCUACGAGGCGGCAUGAUUCUGACAGAAAACAUCAAAAGAUCGUUAAGACAUUAACAAAUUUACAGGACUGCAACCUAAGCUCUGAUACCAAACUGACACACCCCGAUCCGGAGGAUCCAGGUGUGCUGGCCGUCACGUGGGCGUGACGUAACCAUCGGCGCGACACGGAAGCAAAAUAACAAUAUAACUCAGCAGAAAUUCAAACCAAACUCAAACAUAACCACCUACGAACAUAACCGGACGAGUUAUCAGGUAAACACAUAAGUUCAGAGCAUAGGUUAACUGCAGUCAAGUAGGUCUAAAAUAAAAUACAUCACCCUCAGGUGAGUCCUACAUGUCGAAGGUCUGUCAGAAAGCCGGAAAAGACCUCGAGAGCCACCAACCGCUAAUUUAGAACCUGGAGGGGCGCAAAACAAAAUGAGUGGGUCAGUAAAACCAAAGAUUUUCCAAAACAUUUCAAUUAAAACAUUUCUAACCCCUCACCGUAAAACCUGUAUACAUUCUCCAGAAAAAGUAGAUAUAUAUAUAAAACCAUAUGAAGUCUCAAAAACUUAAAUCCCAAAUCUUUAACAUUUUUCAAGGAAACAUGCCAUGCAAUAAAUCAAAAUAUAAAUCAGGUGAAAUAAGGAAUCAAUCGGAGACCCUGCAGUUGGUCCUAUACGAUUAAUUCAACAGCUCAAUAUCCCACUAAGCUGGAGCCACCACAGUGACCUAUACGGCCCUACUCUGCACAUCACUCGGAACUACGUGAGGUAGUCUAUACGAUGAAAGGUGUAAAAAUACGCUCUAGUGCUUCUCUCAUCAUAUCAUCAGCGCGCAUAUCUAAGGUCACCCACCAGUCAGAACCCCUCUAAUGGUCUGUGCGACUGGCAUGUCGGAACCCUCACAUGGUCUGUACGACAUCCACCUACUUGGAUCCAAGGCGAGCGUGCGGUGUGGUGAAUAAAAUAAGCACUAACACCUAGGGUGCAGGUUAUGAGCUUGAAACAUCUUAUCAACAAUCAAUUAAAUGAAUAAUGAACUUACCUGACUUACCUGUGCCUCCACAGCACCAUGCAACAUGUAUGCAUCAUAUAUCAAUCAUAUAACUCAUAUGAAAUUCACAUUUUCCAAAUAAUUCUAUGCAUGGCAUUUUCAAAACAUAAUUUCGUAUAAAUUCAUCUUCUGGGAAAAAUUAAUAGUAUAAAGGUAAUACGAAAACAAAACUGCCCACUCACUGAUAAGUCGACGGGUCGUAACCCCCGUGGCGUCCCUGGAUGCGGUCGUCCUCGGGAUACGUCUCACCUAUAUGCGAAAUAACUAUAAAAACGUUAAUUUUAAACACAUCACCAAUAUUUCGAAAUAAUUUCUCAUACGAUGCUCAAUUUGGGUAUAUGAAUAUACCACAUCGACCUACUCGACGUCACGAGCGUCGAGAAAUUUUUAGAAACUGAUUUGGACUCCCCACGCGCCCUCACGCGCCGGCUAGAGCUCGGCUCUACGCGCAGGCCACGCGCAGCCACGCGCGGCACGUGUCAUCGUCUUCCCCAGGGUUUGCCGGACUGGUUUUUCCGGCGACCCAAUUCCGGCCAAACUUUAAACCUCUUGUUCUCCUUCGUUUUUCACCCAUUUUCUUCGUAUUUUAUACCAAAUUGAAGCCCUAAGAGUGUACUAUCACGUUGGACUAGUUUUAGGGUCUAAAAAUCAAGAAAUCUCACCGAGCAAAAUCCAAGAAUUCGGCCAACUUUGAAACCCACGAUCCCGACGUCCAAAUCCUUCAAACGAACGUCCCCGAGCUUCCUUAGGACCUCACUAAGCUUGCUAUAAGCUUGAAUUCCCCUGAAACACAACAUUUUACGUUCGCAUGAACAGUACCCAAAAAUGGAGGUUUCGGAUUCCACGUGAAAUCGAAGGUCUCACUUCCUAAAACUAGCACCAAUGAACUCAGGACGUCAAAAGGAUGAAGAUACAUACCUUAUUUGCCUCGAUCCGUCAAGUUUUGAAGGGUUUUGGUGGUGGUCCGUACGUGGAGGGUGAGGGAAAGAGAGAGAUCGUGAGGGAGAGAGACAGAGAGUGCUACGGGAGGGAGAGAAGACAGGGAGUGCGUGUGUGUGUGAUUGUGUGGUCCAACACAAUCCUCAC
rnacentral:lncRNA from 1 species